rnacentral:misc_RNA from 1 species
GUAGGUGAACCUGCGGAAGGAUCAUUAGAACACUACAACAAUACAAACCAAACUUACUGUGCAUCUAUAAACUUUAAAGCAAGCUUGGGUCAAUCGUUGCUGCACAGAGAGCUCAUAAUGGGUGGUCCGAAGUUAAUUCUAUAUUUCUUCUGGCUCUUCCACUCGUUCUCUCGGGUGGAAGGGAGCUUUCUGUGCUUGGCUGGGUUGCCUCGUUCCCUUUGUGGUCGAGAGCAGCCAGACGACUGAUGCC